CAGAAUGCCACACCCUGACUGGAUCAGGGCUCAGACCAGUCCUCUCAGUGGAGACUUAGGCCAACCUGAAAGCCCAAUAUUCUUGAUUUGCCCCCAAAAUCACUGUACAGCUCCACCUUCCAUGCACACAGGACAUCUAAAAUGGGGCAGGAUUCACACAUUCUUUUGACAGCGGAUCGGCCUGGCUCCCUUUGAGGGCCCUCAGGUCAGGGCUGCUAAUUCCCCGCCAGAACUGCUCGGACGUGAAAUUGGAGUGAGACAAUGUGUGUUUAAGGAAAUGAAUCUCGAAUCUUAAGAGGCUCUGGAGCCCGCCCUGCACCCCCAUCACCCUGCUCUCGCCCACCAGAGCCAGGAAAGGAGCACUUGGCAUCAGAGAAGAGAAAGGCGGAGGUGACAUUCAGCGCCAAAUCAGCAGCCGCCACAGCCAAAUAUUGUACUUGCCUCCAAUCUUCUUUUAUUUUUCC
rnacentral:lncRNA from 1 species